GCCUGGAUGGCUCAGUGGGUUGAGCGUCUGACUUCGGCUCAGAUCACGAUCUCAUAGCUCGUGAGUUUGAGCCCCGCGUCGGGCU
rnacentral:tRNA from 1 species